rnacentral:rRNA from 1 species
AGUGGCGAACGGGUGAGUAACACGUGACCAACCUGUCUUCAGGUGAGGGACAACCUGGGGAAACCCGGGCUAAUACCGCAUGAUGUCUGUUUUUCACAUGGGAAAGAGACCAAAGAGGGCCUCUGCUUGCAUGCUCUCGCCUGAUGAGGGGGUCGCGUCGUAUCAGCUUGUUGGUGAGGUAAUGGCUCACCAAGGCAAUGACGCGUAGCGGGUCUGAGAGGACGAUCCGCCACAUUGGGACUGAGAUACGGCCCAGACUCCUACGGGAGGCAGCAGUGGGGAAUAUUGCGCAAUGGUCGAAAGACUGACGCAGCGACGCCGCGUGUGGGAGGAAGCCUUUCGGGGUGUAAACCACUGUCAGGGGGGAAGAAUCCCGGGUGUUCGAAUAGGGCACUCGAUUGACGGUACCUCCAGAGGAAGCGCCGGCUAACUCCGUGCCAGCAGCCGCGGUAAGACGGAGGGCGCAAGCGUUGUUCGGAAUUACUGGGCGUAAAGCGCACGCAGGCGGCCCGCUAAGUCCUUUGUGAAAGCCCGGGGCUCAACCCCGGAAUUGCAUCGGAUACUGGCAGGCUGGAGACUGGUAGAGGCUAGCGGAAUUCCUGGUGUAGCGGUGGAAUGCGUAGAUAUCAGGAAGAACACCUGUGGCGAAGGCGGCUAGCUGGGCCAGUUCUGACG